rnacentral:sRNA from 1 species
UUUUAUGAUAUAUUUGUUGGAUAAAAGAAAGUAUACUCGAUUUUCGUUAAAAAAUCGAACACAGUCGUUACUUUCUCUGAGGACUAGAUUAUUCCAACACGAAAUGGGUGCGAAAACUGAAUAUGAAACACCAUAUUCGUUGGUAUUGACAUCGUUUAAAGAAAAGCAGCAGGAGUGAGAACCCGAUACCGAUACCAUCAGCUUGUGAAAUUCUAAGAACAAAAUACUCCUGCCUAUAGCCAAUAAGAGACCGAAAGCAAAUGAUACACCACUGAAGAAGAUAUAUAUAUAUAUACUAGAAAAAAUAACCCAAUAAGAAUCCACUUUCCCAAUUUCGGGGGCGUUUCCAAAAGUUCGCGCCUGCGCCCUUCUAAAAAUAAUAGUUUGUCGUAUUAACCCUGUGUUUCUAGAGGUAACGAUAAUUGAAUUUAAUUGGCUAGUUAAUUGUUGUGCGUGUAAUACAUGAGCUCUUUUCUCCCACAAUUCAUGUAAAACUGACGUUUUAAAGCAGUACUUAAGAGUAGGACUAUUAAUAUUUAUGACAAUGUCAAUGUCAUGUAAUAUUCUAUGAAAACCCGAGAUGUAACACUAUAGUCGAGUUUGAAAUUUCAACAUUUUUCUGAAAUAUCUAUCAAAUAGGAAAACACUACUAUUAAAAUAU